rnacentral:rRNA from 1 species
AUUGAACGCUGGCGGCAGGCCUAACACAUGCAAGUCGAACGGGAGGCGGACGGGUGAGUAAUGCAUGGGAAUCUAGCUUAUGGAGGGCGUUAACUACGGGAAACUGAAGCUAAUACCGCGUACCUUAGGCUGAGCCCAAGUGGGAUUAGGUAGUUGGGGAGGGAAAGGCUCACCAAGCCGACGAUCUCUAGCUGGUAUGAGAGGAGGACCAGCCACACGGGGACUGAGACAUGGCCCAGACUCCUACGGGAGGCAGCAGUGGGGAAUAUUGGGCAAUGGGGGAAACCUGACGCAGCCAUGCCGCGUGAAUGAAGAAGGUCUUCGGGUUGUAAAGUUCUUUCGGUUGCGAGGCGUUAACAACAGAAGAAGCACCGGCUAACUCCGUGCCAGCAGCCGCGGUAAUUC